AUACGGAGGACGCGAGCGUUAUCCGGAUUCAUUGGGUUUAAAGGGUGCGCAGGCGGCCGUGCAAGUCAGCGGUGAAAGCCCGGGGCUCAACCCCGGAAGUGCCGUUGAUACUGCAUGGCUGGAAUGCGGUCGAGGCGGGCGGAACGUGGCGGGGAGCGGGGAAAUGCGUAGAUAUGGCACAGAACGCCGAUAGCGGAGGCAGCUGGCCAGGCCUGCAUUGACGCUCGGGCACGAAAGCGUGGGGAUCGAACAGGAUUAGAUACCCGGGUAGUCCACGCCGUAAACGAUGGGCGCUCGUCGUCGGCGGCAGACAGUCGGCGGCCAAGCGAAAGCGAUAAGCGCCCCACCUGGGGAGUACGGUCGCAAGGCUGAAACUCAAAUGAAUUGACGGGG
rnacentral:rRNA from 1 species